UGUUUCACUUCUAAUGGGUGUGUUUCACUUCUAAUGCAUGUGUUUCACUUCUAAUGGGUGUGUUUCACUUCUAAUGCAUGUGAAAUUAGAAGUGAAACACAUCCAUUAGAAGUGAAA
rnacentral:pre_miRNA from 1 species